GGAUUAGUUCGGCCUGAGCGCAAGGCGCGGGCGCCGCCAGGCCCCGCGGGGCGCCCCACCCACGGCGCGAGCCAGGCAGCGCGAGAGGUGCCGGAGCGGAGGAGCUGGACGACCAGCCGGCGGAGGCGGGAGCUGACGCCUCCCACCUAUCACACCCUCGGCAGCGAGGCGCACAACCAAUCGGAGGGCGCGUCUUUCUACAGCUGGCCAAUCAGGAGCUGCAAAGCUUGACCCGUCAGAGGUGGGGCGCUGAGGCGAGGACCGGCCGUGGCGCGGCCGGAGCGUGGCAGCGCUGGGGCGUGGGGGAGCGCGAGUCGGGCCAUGAUGUAGAGCAGCAGUGAAGGAGUGCUCUUUUAGUGCUCGAAGAUGUGUGGAAUCUGAACAACUUUGUCUUUUGUCUAAUACUGGGAAAGCCUGCUAUUCAUGGUGUGCAGCUGAAGAGUGGAAUGGAUAGUGUCAUGGCAGCAUAGCAAUUUGUACUGUCAUAUUUAGUGACAUACAAGGGGAAUGUCUGUAGAGACUUUAAAAAAAAAAAAAAAGAGAAGUACAGAAGUACAACUUAAAUAUGUACAGGCAGCAUAAAUGUUGUGGAGGAUGGACAAGCAGGAGCUGGAUCACCAUUUUAGGAGACACUGGCUAUUCAGAACAGAUCACCAUCCUGGGAGAUCUCAGUUCAUUCAUGAGUCCAAGCACCAGAUGUAAGUCUUUACAGUUGCUGUUAAAUCACCUCUGUUUGAAAAACUCGUUCAAGUUACCUCACUGGGAAUCAUCAAACUCGCCAUUUUGGAGAAUACAGAUCAUUGUCAGCUUGAAUCAGCCCCCAGACGUGUCACAGGAGUGUCUGCAUUUGCGUGCAAGAAGCUUCUGA
ensembl:lncRNA